AGAGUCUUAUCCUGGCUCAGGAUGAACGCUAGCGACAGGCCUAACACAUGCAAGUCGAGGGGCAUCGGGGCUAGGAGCAAUCCUUGCCGCCGGCGACCGGCGCACGGGUGAGUAACGCGUAUGCGACCUGCCCGUUGCAGGGGGAUAAUCGGGAGAAAUCCCGUCUAAUACCGCGUAAUGCCGCGGGGCUGCAUGGCCCUGCGGCCAAAGGGAGCGAUUCCGGCAACGGAUGGGCAUGCGUGACAUUAGCUAGUUGGCGGGGCAACGGCCCACCAAGGCGACGAUGUCUAGGGGUUCUGAGAGGAAGGUCCCCCACACUGGUACUGAGACACGGACCAGACUCCUACGGGAGGCAGCAGUGAGGAAUAUUGGUCAAUGGGCGCGAGCCUGAACCAGCCAAGUCGCGUGAGGGAUGACGGCCCUACGGGUUGUAAACCUCUUUUGUCGGGGAGCAAAUUCCGUUACGUGUAACGGAGUCGAGAGUACCCGAAGAAAAAGCAUCGGCUAACUCCGUGCCAGCAGCCGCGGUAAUACGGAGGAUGCGAGCGUUAUCCGGAUUUAUUGGGUUUAAAGGGUGCGCAGGCGGACUGUCAAGUCAGCGGUAAAAUACGGGGGCUCAACCUCCGCCCGCCGUUGAAACUGACGGUCUUGAGUGGGCGAGAAGUAUGCGGAAUGCGUGGUGUAGCGGUGAAAUGCAUAGAUAUCACGCAGAACUCCGAUUGCGAAGGCAGCAUACCGGCGCCCAACUGACGCUGAAGCACGAAAGCGUGGGUAUCGAACAGGAUUAGAUACCCUGGUAGUCCACGCAGUAAACGAU
rnacentral:rRNA from 1 species